rnacentral:rRNA from 1 species
GUGGGGAAUUUUGGACAAUGGGCGCAAGCCUGAUCCAGCAAUGCCGCGUGCAGGAAGAAGGCCUUCGGGUUGUAAACUGCUUUUGUACGGAACGAAACGGUCCUGGUUAAUACCUGGGGCUAAUGACGGUACCGUAAGAAUAAGCACCGGCUAACUACGUGCCAGCAGCCGCGGUAAUACGUAGGGUGCGAGCGUUAAUCGGAAUUACUGGGCGUAAAGCGUGCGCAGGCGGUGCUGUAAGACAGGCGUGAAAUCCCCGGGCUCAACCUGGGAAUUGCGCUUGUGACUGCAGUGCUGGAGUACGGCAGAGGGGGAUGGAAUUCCGCGUGUAGCAGUGAAAUGCGUAGAUAUGCGGAGGAACACCAAUGGCGAAGGCAAUCCCCUGGGCCUGUACUGACGCUCAUGCACGAAAGCGUGGGGAGCAAACAGGAUUAGAAACCCUGGUAGUCC